rnacentral:rRNA from 1 species
ACGGGGCUCCACCUCUUCCCAUUCCGAACAGAGAAGUUAAGCCCGUUAGCGCCGAUGGUACUGCAUCAAGUGGGAGAGUAGGUCGCCGCCAACC